GGCCUCUUGUAUGCUCUUUGAGAGGUUAGGCCUGCCCGGUGACUUGCGAGUUUAACGGCCGCAGUACAUGUGCUAAGGUAGCGUAAUCACUCGCCAUUUAAUUGGUGGCACGUAUGAAUGGCUAAACGAGCGUACAAUUGUCUCGAAGAAAUUUAGUGAAAAUUAUCUUUCAGGUGAAAAGGCCUGGAUGAACUAAAAGGACAAAAAGACCCUAAAAGCUUUAUAGCGGUGUAGACGUUGGCUUCUGCGCUAAUAAUUUGUUGGGGAAACAGCGGACUAAUAAACGUCUGUACUAUGUUGUAGGCUGGUGUUAUUGAUAAAUAUGAUCCGACUUUGGUCGAAUCUAGAAGAAGUUACUUUAGGGAUAACAGGCCAAUUUUCUCUGAGAGAACACAUUGACGAGAGAGCUUGGUACCUCGAUGUUGGCUCAGGGCUACAGCAGGGAGCAGGAUCCCUGCCUAGUGGGUUUGUUCAACCUUUAAAGCCCUA
rnacentral:rRNA from 1 species